GGGGCUGAUUCUGGAUUCGACGGGAUUUGCGAAACCCAAGGUGCAUGCCGAGGGGCGGUUGGCCUCGUAAAAAGCCGCAAAAAAAUAGUCGCAAACGACGAAAACUACGCUUUAGCAGCUUAAUAACCUGCUUAGAGCCCUCUCUCCCUAGCCUCCGCUCUUAGGACGGGGAUCAAGAGAGGUCAAACCCAAAAGAGAUCGCGUGGAUGCCCUGCCUGGGGUUGAAGCGUUAAAACGAAUCAGGCUAGUCUGGUAGUGGCGUGUCCGUCCGCAGGUGCCAGGCGAAUGUAAAGACUGACUAAGCAUGUAGUACCGAGGAUGUAGGAAUUUCGGACGCGGGUUCAACUCCCGCCAGCCCACCA
rnacentral:tmRNA from 1 species